AGCGAAACAUGUAAGUUCUAUAAUUUAGGCAUACAAAUUUAUUUAGAAAAGCUAGCUGUAUUACAGGAGAAGUGCCCAAGGAAUCACCAAAUGAUGGAGAAAUAUCAAUCGAAAAGGAAGAUCUAGAUAAAGAAGGGGAUCACGACAUCCGAAAAGGAUGAUCCAAAUAAGGAAGGAAGUCACGGGAUCCAAAAUUAGGAGAGAGUGCUUCCUUUGCAAACUCAACACCUUCAAUGUACUGGAC
rnacentral:lncRNA from 1 species